GACGUAGGGCGCGAGCGUUGUCCGGAUUUAUUGGGCGUAAAGAGCUCGUAGGCGGCUUGUCGCGUCGAAUGUGAAAUCUCGGGGCUCAACUCCGAGCUUGCAUUCGAUACGGGCAGGCUAGAGUUCGGUAGGGGAGACUGGAAUUCCUGGUGUAGCGGUGAAAUGCGUAGAGAUCAGGAAGAACACCCGUGGCGAAGGCGGCCCACUGGGCCGGUACUGACGCUGAGGCGCGAAGGCGUGGGGAGCGAACGGG
rnacentral:rRNA from 1 species